ACGCUGGCGGCGUGCCUAAUACAUGCAAGUCGAGCGAACGGACGAGAAGCUUGCUUCUCUGAUGUUAGCGGCGGACGGGUGAGUAACACGUGGAUAACCUACCUAUAAGACUGGGAUAACUUCGGGAAACCGGAGCUAAUACCGGAUAAUAUUUUGAACCGCAUGGUUCAAAAGUGAAAGACGGUCUUGCUGUCACUUAUAGAUGGGUCCGCGCUGCAUUAGCUAGUUGGUAAGGUAACGGCUUACCAAGGCAACGAUGCAUAGCCGACCUGAGAGGGUGAUCGGCCACACUGGAACUGAGACACGGUCCAGACUCCUACGGGAGGCAGCAGUAGGGAAUCUUCCGCAAUGGGCGAGAGCCUGACGGAGCAACGCCGCGUGAGUGAUGAAGGUCUUCGGAUCGUAAAACUCUGUUAUUAGGGAAGAACAUAUGUGUAAGUAACUGUGCACAUCUUGACGGUACCUAAUCAGAAAGCCACGGCUAACUACGUGCCAGCAGCCGCGGUAAUACGUAGGUGGCAAGCGUUAUCCGGAAUUAUUGGGCGUAAAGCGCGCGUAGGCGGUUUUUUAAGUCUGAUGUGAAAGCCCACGGCUCAACCGUGGAGGGUCAUUGGAAACUGGAAAACUUGAGUGCAGAAGAGGAAAGUGGAAUUCCAUGUGUAGCGGUGAAAUGCGCAGAGAUAUGGAGGAACACCAGUGGCGAAGGCGACUUUCUGGUCUGUAACUGACGCUGAUGUGCGAAAGC
rnacentral:rRNA from 1 species